rnacentral:rRNA from 1 species
UACGAAGGGGGCUAGCGUUGUUCGGAAUUACUGGGCGUAAAGCGUGCGCAGGCGGCUUUGCAAGACAGAUGUGAAAUCCCCGGGCUCAACCUGGGAACUGCAUUUGUGACUGCAUGGCUAGAGUACGGUAGAGGGGGAUGGAAUUCCGCGUGUAGCAGUGAAAUGCGUAGAUAUGCGGAGGAACACCGAUGGCGAAGGCAAUCCCCUGGGCCUGCACUGACGCUCAUGCACGAAAGCGUGGGGAGCAAACAGG